UCCACUGUAGUUCAGUGGUAGAAUGGACCGAUUCUAUUGCUAGCGCGUAGGUCGGAGGUCGGAGGUUCGAUUCCUUCCAGUGGCA